UACCGCGGUUAUACGAGAGGCUCAAAUUGAUGUUCCACGGCGUAAAGCGUGAUUAAAGAAAAUAAAUACUAAAGCCGAACAACUCCUUAACUGUUAUACGUUUAAAGAGAUAAGAAGCCCCACAACGAAAGUAGCUUUAACUAAAAAUCUUGAGCUCACGAAAAUUAAGAAA
rnacentral:rRNA from 1 species